rnacentral:tRNA from 1 species
GGUGCAUUAGUUAAAGCAUUUGGCUCCUAACCAAAAGGUUAGUGGUUCAAACCCACUAGGCGCUC